rnacentral:rRNA from 1 species
UACGAAGGGGGCUAGCGUUGUUCGGAAUUACUGGGCGUAAAGCGUGCGCAGGCGGCUUCUCAAGUCAGGGGUGAAAGCCCAGAGCUCAACUCUGGAAUUGCCUUUGAGACUGAGUGGCUUGAGUACGAGAGAGGUGAGUGGAAUUCCCAGUGUAGAGGUGAAAUUCGCAGAUAUCAGGAGGAACACCGAUGGCGAAGGCAGCUCGCUGGGACGGUACUGACGCUGAGGCGCGAAAGCGUGGGGAGCAAACAGG